rnacentral:lncRNA from 1 species
CGGAGGGAGUAUUAUCCACCCUAUCAGCCCCCGCCAUAGCUGGAAGUCCUAUGUAUUUAUAUGAAAAUCCCUCAGUAUCGAUAUGCAGGACUUGGGAAAUCUCCGCUCCAGAAUUGUCAUUAGUAUUUGGGCUAAGAAAUAUACUUGGCUUUGCCAAACUAACCAUCUGUACUGAACUUUGACAAUAGGUGUCUCGUACAUGUUGCAAGAAGUUGCAUUUAACACAUAGCUCUCAUGAGAGUUAGAGAAUCAUCAGUAAAUAAAACGUGUGAUGUUUACAGAUGCACUUCUACACACUCUAAUCU